AAGUAGAAAACCUGCGAAACGACGAGCUGUUGGCCUUGAAGAAAAGAGAAACUUUAGGUGACUCGUUGGUUGGCAGAACCACCGAUGGCGGUGAUAGAUGAACCAAAACCAGCGGCGAUGAAAACGGAAAGCUCGCUAUUGUGCAGGGAAUCAGUGGCGGAAGAACAAACGCCCGUGUGGUGAGUGUUGAUGGCGAUGAUCAAAGCAGAAAAGGAAGAAACAGAAAUAAAAGCUCUCAACAAGACAAAGAAUGUAAGAGUGUUGGAUCAGUUAGUGUGCACAAGAAGAAGAGGAAUUAGCGUGAAUACAAUAACAGAGGGAAGUGCUGAUACCAAUUGAUGGAACUCACAUAAUAAACUUUCAUUUUUCUGUUUGAAACUUUCCUUACGAGCAUUGUGAUUAGAACUAAUCACAAUAAUAUAUAGAACGAAUGAUCAAAACAGCAGGGUUGGCUCCUAGACUUCUCCAUUUUGAGUGGUGCAUGCAAGGAUUGUGGAUUUAAAAUUAGCAGCAUCAGUGUUCGGGAUUUUGGUGAAAUUAGCAGCAUGAGUCUAUGGUUGUUCUAUUGGUGGGGGAUGAUAAUAGGUGAGCUGGCUGAAAUGGUGUACAUUUAGACAAAGUGAGGAGAUCACAGUCUUGGUGUUUCUUAUUGUUGUAGUUUUGAUGUAGAUUUUAUGGAUAAAUUUUUAAAGAGGAAAUUACGGUGAAAUGAGCGAGAAUCCCGUUCUCAACAACAAUGAAAUUAAGCAAGAGACUAUUUAGAGAUCAAUAUCCUUAAUUAAGUUUCAAGCUGUAUAUUUUUUUGUAUGCUGUUGCAGUGUAGAAUUGAUUUUCUUUAAAUCUGUUGCUAUCAUUAUUUUAAAGUUUGAGUUUCCGUAACAGUUUUGCCUACAACAAUUGAUACCAACAAUGUCUUGAUCAGUUUCAUCA